GGAGGAAAAGAAACCAACUGGGAUUGCCUUAGUAACGGCGAGUGAAGCGGCAAUAGCUCAAAUUUGAAAGCUGGCGUCUUUGGCGUCCGCGUUGUAAUUUGUAGAGGAUGCUUCGGCGAGGGCUCCGGUCUAAGUUCCCUGGAACGGGACGUCAUAGAGGGUGAGAAUCCCGUAUGUGAUCGGUUGCCUAAGCCAUGUGAAGCUCCUUCGACGAGUCGAGUUGUUUGGGAAUGCAGCUCUAAAUGGGAGGUAAAUUUCUUCUAAAGCUAAAUACCGGCCAGAGACCGAUAGCGCACAAGUAGAGUGAUCGAAAGAUGAAAAGCACUUUGGAAAGAGAGUUAAAAAGUACGUGAAAUUGUUGAAAGGGAAGCGCUUGCAACCAGACUCGUCCGCAGUUGCUCAGCCGGUCUCUUGACCGGCGUACUCUUCUGCGGCCGGGCCAGCAUCAGUUCGGGCGGCCGGAUAAAGGCCUCGGGAAUGUAGCACCCUUCGGGGUGUGUUAUAGCCCGGGGUGGAAUGCGGCCAGCCUGGACUGAGGAUCUCGCUUCGGCUAGGAUGCUGGCGUAAUGGUUGUAAGCGGCCCGUCUUGAAACACGGACCAAGGAGUCUAACAUCUAUGCGAGUGUUUGGGUGUCAAACCCAUGCGCGUAAUGAAAGUGAACGGAGGUGGGAACCCUCACGGGUGCACCAUCGACCGAUCCUGAUGUCUUCGGAUGGAUUUGAGUAUGAGCAUAGCUGUUGGGACCCGAAAGAUGGUGAACUAUGCCUGAAUAGGGUGAAGCCAGAGGAAACUCUGGUGGAGGCUCGCAGCGGUUCUGACGUGCAAAUCGAUCGUCAAAUUUGGGUAUAGGGGCGAAAGACUAAUCG
rnacentral:rRNA from 1 species